UACGUAGGUUGCGAGCGUUAUUCGGAUUUACUGGGCGUAAAGAGCACCGAGGUGGCUUCUUAAGUUGGAUGUAAAAUCUCCUGGCUUAACUGGGAGGCGCCAUUCAAAGCUGAGGAGCUUGAGGUCAGCAGGGGAAGGUGGAAUUCCCGGUGUAGUGGUGGAAUGCGUAGAGAUCGGGAGGAACACCAGUGGCGAAAGCGACCUUCUGGGCUGCACCUGACACUCUAGUGCGAAAGCGUGGGGAGCAAACAGG
rnacentral:rRNA from 1 species